UAAACUAAAUUUUAUAUGAAUAAUUUAUUUACAAUAAAUAGGAGCAGAUUUGCUAGUUUAA
rnacentral:tRNA from 1 species